AUUCCCUCAUUUCCCUGUUUCUCUCUCAUCCUCUCAAAAAAACCCAACCCCCAAACCAAAUCUUCUCGUUCUUAUCAUCUUUCUCUGAAUCUCUCGGGGGAUUUUUUGUUUGAGGAUCCGAUCGGAAGAUAUGGCACAGAGAACCGAGAAGGAGGAGACGGAGUUCAAAGUUCCGGAGACGAUCACGCUCUGCGUCAACAACUGCGGUCUCACGGGGAAUCCAGCCACCAAUAAUAUGUGUCAGAAGUGCUUUAAUGCUACCACGGCGACCGCGUCUAUGGCGAUGAAGUUUUCCGGUGAGAAAAGCCCGAGAUCUACUACCUCUCGCUCGCCUGAGAAAUUUCGUUUCGUUUCAGAGUCUAGGAGGAUUGUAACGGCGGCCGAUCGUCCGAAACCUGACGAAUCGGCGAAGCGAGAGGUGAAUCGGUGCUCUGGAUGUAGGAAACGCGUUGGAUUGACUGGAUUUAGGUGCCGAUGCGGCGAUUUAUUCUGUGCGGAGCACCGGUAUUCAGAUCGUCAUGAUUGUAGCUUCGAUUACAAGGCGGCUGGUCGUGAGGCGAUCGCGAGGGAGAAUCCGGUGGUGAAAGCGGCGAAGAUCGUUAGAGUUUAACCCGUAGAUCGAUUGAUUACCAAAAAAAAAAGAAGAAUCUGAAGAUGAUGAAAUUUGUGAGAAACAAAACUUUGGGCUGAUUGUUGAAACUUUUCUUUGGAGUACUGAGGAUUAAUUCCUCGAAAUAUCCUCUCGAUCUUUAGGAGAGAAAAACAUGAGAGA
rnacentral:misc_RNA from 1 species